UACGUAGGGCGCAAGCGUUGUCCGGAAUUAUUGGGCGUAAAGAGCUCGUAGGCGGCUUGUCAAGUCGGGUGUGAAAGCCCGGGGCUUAACCCCGGGUCUGCAUUCGAUACGGGCUAGCUAGAGUGUGGUAGGGGAGAUCGGAAUUCCUGGUGUAGCGGUGAAAUGCGCAGAUAUCAGGAGGAACACCGGUGGCGAAGGCGGAUCUCUGGGCCAUUACUGACGCUGAGGAGCGAAAGCGUGGGGAGCAAACAGG
rnacentral:rRNA from 1 species